GUCACCGGCUCCUGCUGCGCUGCCCUUUUUCCUUAUUCAGGCCUUUGUUGUAUUUUGUUAAGGCUUUUACUAAACCUUUUAAAAUUUUUAAAAGUGAGCAUCUCUCACACCUUCCAUGCUGAUCCAGUUGAGUGGGUGUUACUGGUUUAGAGGCACUUUACCUUUCUAACCUGUUUCUCUUUAAAUUUCUAAAUUUUAAAGUGUUGGUUGAAAAGCAAGGUACUACGUUAGAAAUUGGAGUAUUAAUUUCAUUAUACUUGAGUUGGAUUAAAGCUGGGUAUUUAGUCUCUGCCAGCUGUCUUCAGCCACCUGUUUUUCUGUGAAUAUCCCAUGGUUAAAUUGGUUCUCAGGAAAAUGAAAUGAGCUGUCCCUGCAACCAGGCUUUGAUGGAAACAAAAUAAGACUUAAACAUACCUGAGGGACAAAAUAGGGGAGAAGAAAUGUCCUGGCAGACCAACAUGCUUUUGCAGUACCUACUGCAGCUGAAUUGCUGUGAGGGGAAGCUCAGGCAGUCAGCAGGACCUGAAGGCACUGAGAGAGCCCAGGCAGCAGAGAUACAGGAGAGAAGCAGAUACAAAAACACUGGCAGAGCUGAAAGAGGAAGAUGGACCUCACCUGCAGAAAAGUGGCCGCACCAAAAAUACACUGAAUUACAUAGACCUGAGAUCCAAAGUCUAGAACAUCCAGUUACGACUCUUCUAGGAAGACUGAAAUGCUGGUUCAAAGUCAGUCUUAUUAUUCUGGAGCAAAAUGGAAACAGUGGAGACCAAUGGUCAGCCAACAGUGACUCCUCUACAGGGACAAUUAAAUAUAUGCUGAAUAUAUGAGCUGAAUGAUGGCCUCACUUCUUAGGUGAUGAUUGCUUAAUCUCAUCCUUAGGUGAGGAACUUUCAUGCUGUUCACAAACAUCUGAAUCCCUUCCUGCAGUAGAAUCCAUUUACCAUUGUGCAAAUAUUCUGUAUUAAUUCUAGACCACACACAGAUCUGAGUGGCAUCAGAGUAAGACUGCAGUAACCCCAAUUAAUUUUAGGAGGCUUUUUCUAGGUUUAUCCUACUCAGAUAAAAAUGUGUGUAUUUAUCUUUGAAUUGCAUGGCACAGACUAUUGUAAUGAGGUGCAUUGAGCUCUAUUCUCAGCAUAAAUUAAUUUGGGGUAGUCAAAUGAAAAAUGUUGCACACCAGAUUGGUGAGCUAGAUGGUCCUUUAUCACUACAGUUAAGGAAAAUAUGAAUGUUAAUGAAUCUAUUUUGUUCUAUCACAACUUCUGAAAAUAAAAGAAAAU